UACAGCAGUGACAACGCCAAAGAAAAGGACUACAUUUCCCAGAAUGCACCUGCACCCACUCAUCUGCCCCACCCUUCAGGUGCGACUGCUUGACCUAUGGGCUUGUCGGGAAAAUUCAAAAUCGCGAACCGUUACAGCCUGGACUACUCUUUGUUUGCUUGCACAUCAACAGUAAGAGAUCAUGUACACUGUGGUCAACUUUGUGGACGCUGAAGAGGUUUCUGGGUAAAGAUGAUAGAAAUAUAAUGAAGUAACAGUGGAAGCUUAAACAUCAGACUGAUCCAGACACUGAAGAAAUUGAUGUCACUGCAAUCUGGCCAAAAUGAUACAACUAUAUUGAAGUAGUCUACUGUAAUGAAGCUGCAGAACGUCACAGAGACUCUGAGGACAUCAACACACAAAAUCAAGGCUCCAAAGAGAUGUCUGUCCAGAUGAGGGUGCAUCAACGUUACCUUUGCUGACAAGUAUAUGCUUUACAAUGUAAAACCUAACAGUUAACUUAACUCAAACCAUUUAAGGAAAUCGGUUGCCUUAAAUCAUUAAGUUUUAAAAAACAUACAUUUGAGUACUGUGAACUUAAGUCUUGUGCAAUUAUGCACUUAAAUUUAGGUAGUGUGAACUUAAAUAUAAGUGCUUAACUGCAUGUGACUCAAUUUGUUUAAGUUCACAGUACUCAAAUCUAUGUGUUUUAAAACUUGAAUGGUUUAAUGCAACCGGUUUUCUUAAAUGUGAGAAAUUACAGUGUUACAGUGAGAAAUGUUUGAAUAAUUCCAAGUCAGAGCUCUGUGAUUGAUUCUACACUGCAAAAAAAUCACUUUAUUACACUUUUUAUCUUGUUUUCAGUAGAAAAACUAAAAAUUCUUAAAUCAAGAUGUAUUUUCUUGAUGAGCAAAAUUACCUUAGAAAAUAUGUCUAGUUUUUAGACAAAAAUAUACAAUUUAAGAUAAUUUGUGCCUAAACAAGAAAAAAUAUCUAACAAUGGGGUGAGAAAAUUGUGUUUUAAUUAAGUUUUUAAGAAAAAAGAAAACGUAAGAUUUUUUUCUCACACUAUUGGCAGAUAUUUUUACUUGUUAAGCACAAAUUCACUUAAUGUGUGUGUGUGUGUAUUUUUAUUUAUUUUGUCUAAAACUAGACUUAUUUUCUUGGGUCAUUUUGUUCCUCAAGAAAAAGCAUUUUAAUUUAAAUAAUAUUUCUACUGAAAACAAGACAAAAAUACUAUGUAAGAAAGUAAUUUUUUGCAGUGUAGGACUGAUUUCUUAAGAGCAAGAUCAAUAUAGUUGUUGUUCAUUUUAUUUGGAUAUUUACUACAUUACAGUGGCAGCUGGUGACUUCUUUUUUUUGUGAGCACUCGAUGCGAAGUUUGUCAGAACAUGUAUAUAGCCCGUCAUUUGUGUGGUUCCCAAUUUCAAAAUAUGUGUUCUGUGUGUUCUGUGAAGCAACAAACACAUAUUUUAAAAACACAAGCAACACACAUGACACUCUGAACACUUAUUUUGAAUUUGCAACCCUCAGAUGAGCAGUCACGAGCCGCCACUGCUACAUUACAUUGUACUGCUUUGAAUGUAGUUUUCAUUGUUGCUUUUAUUUUGUUUUAUUUUACUCUAAUAUUGCUUUCUCUGUCUGUAUAUUUAUGAGUUUAAAUUGUAUUGUUUAUGUAUGCAACUUUUAAUAUUUGUGUAUUAUAUUAUUUUGUGAUUGUGACAAUUGUGGAUUGCUCAGUUUUUUAUUAAAUAAACAUUUCAAACUCAAUUCAAGUUUUUAUUUUUUUUAAGGGUUUUGGGGAUGUAUAGUAGUAUAUAGUGGGGGGGGGGGUUGUAGUCUAUCUGCAUAGCAGGCAAAUAACCAAUCAAGUCACUAAGCUAUGAGGGAUUAAAACAAAGUGUAACCAAUCAAAUCAUCUCAACUGGAAAGUUUCAAAGUUGUGUCCCAAUAGUUGUCAGAGUUUUGGGA